AUAAAAGUGACACACAAAAGUAACAUGUGCAAGUAAAACAAACAAAAAAUCAAAUUACAAUUGCCACACAAGCGACCGUAUAUGUGACCAUCAAUCGCUGAAAAGGCACCGGGAUCGUUUUCAUUUAUCAACUUACAUUAACGCAAAUUUACUAUUAAUUUGUAAAAUACACAAUCACAAUCAUAAACGAAUGAAUAAACUAAAACUGCACAAAUAUUACAAAAAAAAAUCACACACAGUGAUACUGUUUACUUCGGCAAAUGCCAUGUAAACAUGUACAUAUGUAUGUGUUUGCGUUACCUUCGCUUGUGAAAUUCUUGAUAAUAAUUAAUAUCUAUUACACAGGAAAGAGUAAGAAACAAAUAAUAAUUCAACGCUAUGGAUUCAUCUAUUCCUAUAAGCACAAGCCUGAAUCUACAUCCAUUACUAGGCCUUGUACAUCAAAUACCCACCUAUGAAGGCCCACCUGACAAUCUUGAAAGAUUUGUAAGUAGAGUAGAACAGCUACUAUUGUUAGCCGGAUCAGUGGACGAAGCAACAUGCAGACAGUACUUGCUUGGAACUAUCCGUGACAAGAUUAAAGGCAGAGCAGACGAAGCACUGAGUGUCUGCCAUGUACUCCUCAGUUGGGAUGAUAUUAAAUAAAAUCUCAAGCGACUAUACUCCAGCAAGAAGACAGAAGAAAUGCUUGUUAGAGAGCUACAUACUCUUCCGGAUGGACUCAGUAUGGGAAGAUUAUAUUUCACAGCCACGAGAAUAAGAAGUGAAUUGAUGUCACUGGCCAGAGAAGCAGACCCUAGUGGACACUCCCUCGCGUCCAAACGGGACCAAUAUGACAUUUCCGCCUAAAUACAUUCCCAGUUGGAUUAAAGGACCCACUUAGAUCGGCCAUUAGAAACCAAAGGCCAGAGACGAUCGAGAAAGCGUACGAGUACGGACAGCUUGAACUAAACUUUUCUAGAAGUCUGAGUAAACAUCCUGGAAACCAUAACACCGACAAACUAAUACAUUAAGAACACACAACACAAAAAUUGUAAAAUUCAAAAUAUCGUCGGAGUUCGUGGCAUACACCAACAACACGUCACCGAGCCAUCCUUCUCCGAUCCGGCCAUUCCCCCCUAUGGUUGACUGUAUGGCCUUCUCUUCGGACUGAGGGGGGGAGGAGUUAACAUGCCCCUCUCUCCGGCCACAUGGAAUAAUGCCGAACCGGAAACUCCAAGCCUACUCUAUGCAACCCCAAGCCUACUCUAUGCAACUCUGACGAUAAUACACUCAUACCUAGAUUCUGACAUACACACACAUGUUCAGGCCUUUUGUAAUAAAUUGCCACUGACGAAAUAGUCAGUCUUAUUCAGUUCUCCAAACAGCACAAUGCUUUUAUUUCUUUCAGAAAUAGCACCGCUAACGAAAUCAUCAUUGAACUCGUGCCAAUUGUGGGAGUCUGAAUACUUGCAAGUAACCACAUAAUACCGGCAAUCGUUGAGCCUGUAUGAUUGCAUAUCGCAUAGAGCGAAUAAUGCACAUUCGAAAGAAUAAAGAAUAAAUCCAAGCAGGCGGCCAGUUUGCAGAGCGAUGACGAUGGCAACGGUAAGUUCAAGUCCCAGAAUGGUUCAAAGAAAUUGAACGUGUCAAUUGAGAAAAUAUGUAUGCGCCAAUGUAAGGUCCAUCACUACGUAAACAGUAAUAUAUUGUGAAUCACAAUUUGUGAUUCAACCAAAUUUCUAAGCGAUGGAGAACUUGGAAUAGUACCUCUAAUGAAAACCUUUGAAAAUUUAUACAAUGGUGAUCCUGAUGAAAUAAUAUCCCAAUGGAACCACCUCCGACUUUCUUUAAAUCAGGGAAAAAAGAUAUUCGUAAAUUUUUGACAGACACUGAAAAUAAAAUAAACGGUAAUUCAUAAACAACUUGAUUUCGCAGGUCACAAUAAGCUUAGUUCUCUGUCGAAGGAUUUGUUCCCCGUUUGCAAAAGGCCUAUUUCUACAAAAAUGGUUUGAGUCAUCUGGAAUUGCCGCACUUGCCAAAUCUUAGAUACUGAGUUCAACAAUUGUCCACGUUUGGAGCAUCUCGACCUCAACGGUAAUCAACUCACUGAGUUUCAGAUUACACCACCUCCAGAAGGUUUUAACUCAUCGACUACGAAGCAAUUUCCAUUGCGAUUAUUGGAUCUCGCAUACAACAAGAUAAGUGUGCUUCGCGAAAACCAUUUCGAAUUCCUAGGAGAACUUGAAAUACUGGAUUUAUCUGGCAAUAAAUUCACCACCCUGAAGAGUGCUCA